rnacentral:lncRNA from 1 species
UCUCUCUCGUCGUUCCCAGAUCGAUCGAAUUGAAUGAAUAUGUAAAAAGCCCUAUUAUAUCUUUAGGGGUAUAUUUGUCAAUUACUUAAAAAUAAUGGAUGGAAUGAUUUAUUCCUGGCCACCCCUCAAGGAAUGAAAAUUAAAAUUUUAAGUUAACUAUCAUUCCAGGAGGAAUACAUUAUUCCGUUGGAAUAAACAAACCAAACAACAUUUUUAUCAUUCCA